GAAUUCACUAGUGAUUGAGUUUGAUCAUGGCUCAGAUUGAACGCUGGCGGCAUGCCUUACACAUGCAAGUCGAACGGUAACAGCACUUCGGUGGCUGACGAGUGGCGAACGGGUGAGUAAUACAUCGGAACGUGCCCGAGAGUGGGGGAUAACGCAGCGAAAGCUGUGCUAAUACCGCAUACGAUCUACGGAUGAAAGCAGGGGACCGCAAGGCCUUGCGCUCAUGGAGCGGCCGAUGGCAGAUUAGGUAGUUGGUGGGAUAAAAGCUUACCAAGCCGACGAUCUGUAGCUGGUCUGAGAGGACGACCAGCCACACUGGGACUGAGACACGGCCCAGACUCCUACGGGAGGCAGCAGUGGGGAAUUUUGGACAAUGGGCGAAAGCCUGAUCCAGCCAUGCCGCGUGYAGGAUGAAGGCCUUCGGGUUGUAAACUGCUUUUGUACGGAACGAAAAGGUCUUUUCUAAUAAAGAAGGCUCAUGACGGUACCGUAAGAAUAAGCACCGGCUAACUACGUGCCAGCAGCCGCGGUAAUACGUAGGGUGCAAGCGUUAAUCGGAAUUACUGGGCGUAAAGCGUGCGCAGGCGGUUAUAUAAGACAGAUGUGAAAUCCCCGGGCUCAACCUGGGAACUGCAUUAGUGACUGUAUAGCUAGAGUGCGGCAGAGGGGGAUGGAAUUCCGCGUGUAGCAGUGAAAUGCGUAGAUAUGCGG
rnacentral:rRNA from 1 species